rnacentral:lncRNA from 1 species
UUGGAUUUGAUUGUUUAGGAUUCUAGGGUUAAGGGUUUUAAAAUUUAGGGUUUAGCGUUUGAUGGUUUAGAAUUUUAGGAUCAAGGGUUUAGGGUUUCAGAAUUUAGGAUUUAGGGUUUGAUAAUUUAGGGUUCUAAAGUAAGGGUUUAGCGUUUUAGAAUUUAGGGUUUAGGGUUUGCUGGUUUAGGAUUUUAAGGUUAAGGGUUCUGAGUUUUAGAAUUUAGGGUUUAGAGUUUAAGGGUUUAGGGUUAUAUUAUUUUAGAGUUUAGAAUUUAGGGUUUAGGAUUUUAAAAUUUCGGCAUAUACGAAAGUUCCGACGGA